rnacentral:rRNA from 1 species
UACGUAGGGUGCGAGCGUUGUCCGGAAUUACUGGGCGUAAAGAGCUCGUAGGCGGUUUGUCGCGUCUGCCGUGAAAGUCCGGGGCUCAACUCCGGAUCUGCGGUGGGUACGGGCAGACUAGAGUGCAGUAGGGGAGACUGGAAUUCCUGGUGUAGCGGUGAAAUGCGCAGAUAUCAGGAGGAACACCGAUGGCGAAGGCAGGUCUCUGGGCUGUAACUGACGCUGAGGAGCGAAAGCAUGGGGAGCGAACAGG